UACACUCCUGCGGGAGGCAGCAGUGGGGAAUAUUGGACAAUGGGCGCAAGCCUGAUCCAGCCAUGCCGCGUGAGUGAUGAAGGCCCUAGGGUUGUAAAGCUCUUUCACCGGUGAAGAUAAUGACGGUAACCGGAGAAGAAGCCCCGGCUAACUUCGUGCCAGCAGCCGCGGUAAUACGAAGGGGGCUAGCGUUGUUCGGAUUUACUGGGCGUAAAGCGCACGUAGGCGGACUAUUAAGUCAGGGGUGAAAUCCCGGGGCUCAACCCCGGAACUGCCUUUGAUACUGGUAGUCUUGAGUUCGAGAGAGGUGAGUGGAAUUCCGAGUGUAGAGGUGAAAUUCGUAGAUAUUUGGAGGAACACCAGUGGCGAAGGCGGCUCACUGGCUCGAUACUGACGCUGAGGUGCGAAAGCGUGGGGAGCAAACAGGAUUAGAAACCCCUGUAGUCCCA
rnacentral:rRNA from 1 species